rnacentral:tRNA from 16 species
UAGCUCAGUUGGUUAGAGCGUACCCCUGAUAAGGGUAAGGUCUCAGGUUCAAAUCCU